rnacentral:tRNA from 1 species
AGCAUGGUACUUUAAUUAAAAGGUUAGAUUUGCGUUCUGAAAUUAGGAGUGGUAUAUUUCCUUCAUGCUG